rnacentral:rRNA from 1 species
AGAGCGAACGCUGGCGGCAGGCCUAACACAUGCAAGUCGAGCGCCCGUAGCAAUACGGGAGCGGCAGACGGGAUAGUAACACGUGGGAACGCGCCCUUGGUUCGGAAUAACUCAGGGAAACUUGAGCUAAUACCGGAUACGCCCUUACGGGGAAAGAUUUAUUGCCGAAGGAACGGCCCGCGUCCGAUUAGCUAGUUGGUGAGGUAAUGGCUCACCAAGGCGACGAUCGGUAGCUGGUCUGAGAGGAUGACCAGCAUCACUGGGACUGAGACACGGCCCAGACUCCUACGGGAGGCAGCAGUGGGGAAUAUUGGACAAUGGGCGCAAGCCUGAUCCAGCCAUGCCGCGUGGAUGAUGAAGGCCUUAGGGUUGUAAAGUCCUUUUAACGGGGAAGAUAAUGACGGUACCCGUAGAAUAAGCCCCGGCUAACUUCGUGCCAGCAGCCGC